UUGCAAAAUAUCUGUUAUUGCUAAACCAACUCAUGAAAAAGACUCCAUACAACCGAAACUGAGAGCGCAGGGAACCGAAGCCGAAAUCUCCUUAGUUCAAGCCAAUUCGUUCACAAUCUACGAAGGUGAAAUCUCGCAAGUGAAUCGCGGUCGCAAGGGAAAGAAUAUAUUUAUGGAUUAAGCACUCGAGGUUGAGCGGCGACGAGCUUGGGGUGGCGUUGAGUCGAAACUGAAUUAUGGUUGGAUUUUAUUUUGAACACCGAGGGUCGUCGUGUCUUCAUACACGGUGUCACUCUUAGUCUUGGUUGCUUCCGCUGAGAUAAUGCUACUUUUCGCAAUUAUAUUUUGAACCCCUUUUUCUCUUGGACCAUAAAUUAUGAAAUAGUAACCGUUUGUCGUUGGAUUUAAGACAUUGCUCUA